rnacentral:rRNA from 1 species
GACGAACGCUGGCGGCGUGCUUAACACAUGCAAGUCGAACGAAGUGGCGAACGGGUGAGUAACGCGUAAUCAACCUGCCCUUCAGAGGGGGACAACAGUUGGAAACGACUGCUAAUACCGCAUACUGAAGGAGGGGAUUGCGUCGGGUUAGCUAGUUGGGGGGGUAACGGCCCACCAAGGGGAAGAUCAGUAGCCGGUCUGCGAGGUGUAACUGCCACCUUGGGAAUGGGACACGGCCAAAACUCCUACGGGAGGCAGCAGUGGGUAAUCUUCCGCAAUUGACGGAAGUCUGACUGAUCAACGCCGCGUGGUUGAUGACGGCCUUCGGGUUGUAAAGCUCUGUUAAUCGGGACGCGGUACCUGAAUAGAAAGCCACGGCUAACUACGUGCCAGCAGCCGCGGUAAUAC